GGCGCAUUCGUCUAGUGGCCCAGGAUAUAGCCCUCUCAAGGCUGUGACACGGGUUCGAAUCCCGUAUGCGCUA
rnacentral:tRNA from 1 species